rnacentral:rRNA from 1 species
GACGAACGCUGGCGGCGUGCUUAACACAUGCAAGUCGAACGGAAAGGCCCUGCUUUUGUGGGGUGCUCGAGUGGCGAACGGGUGAGUAACACGUGAGUAACCUGCCCUUGACUUUGGGAUAACUUCAGGAAACUGGGGCUAAUACCGGAUAGGAGCUCCUGCCGCAUGGUGGGGGUUUGAAAGUUUCGGCGGUUGGGGAUGGACUCGCGGCUUAUCAGCUUGUUGGUGGGGUAGUGGCUUACCAAGGCUUUGACGGGUAGCCGGCCUGAGAGGGUGACCGGCCACAUUGGGACUGAGAUACGGCCCAGACUCCUACGGGAGGCAGCAGUGGGGAAUAUUGCACAAUGGGCGGAAGCCUGGUGCAGCAACGCCGCGUGCGGGAUGACGGCCUUCGGGUUGUAAACCGCUUUCGCCUGUGACGAAGCGUGAGUGACGGUAAUGGGUAAAGAAGCACCGGCUAACUACGUG